rnacentral:lncRNA from 1 species
UGGUGCCAUGUCUAGUCCGCAGGCCCCACACCGGUGACCUGCCCUCAUCUCAUCUCCUACAGACUGGAGCCCGAGGGUAGGAAUUUGUUUUUCCAAGACUCCAGACUCCAGCCCAUGACAAAAGCCAAACACACAGCUGGCGACCCGCGGGCCCGGAGCUGCCUGGUGACUGGGAUACCCCAGGCUGCCCAAACAACUGGGUACCCUGGAACGUGGCGGCCUCGUGGAUUCUGGAGGCCGAGGCCUCCGCAUCCUGGUGAGGCCUCUGUGCGUGUCCCUUCCUCAGCACAGCGUCGCCUGCCUGUGGCCGGGACCCGACGUCUUUUUCGCCUCCUUGCCUCUGAGUUCUGUUUCGUGUGGGGGGUGAGUCUCAGGCUCCCACGUUCCUGCCGCACAGCAUUGCUGGAGGAGACAUCUCCUCGCUUCAUUUGUCUGUCCCGCCAGGCUGCUGUGGGACGUUCACAGUCACAAACUGCAGCGUCAUAGGAAACGUACCUUUGGCCUCUGCCCCAGUUCCUGGCAUGGAGCUCCUAACCCUUAGCCUUUCCGGGAUGCCAGGAGCAUCCUUUGUUCUACUGAGGUACCCAUGGGGGCUCCUGGAUGGGGGCUGCACAUCAGAGAGCCCCCCCUAGGAUUAGAAGCCUAGAACUCUCAGCCCCAGCCCCUGGGAAGAAGAGGGCUGGGACGCUGAGGUCAUCAGGGGUCAUGCUUAUGUGAUGAAGCCUCAAAAGAAAUCCCUAAAAGACAAAAGACAGGACUUGGGAGCAUCCAGGGUGGAAACACAUCAGUGCCGUGAGGGCGGCCACCCCCACUCAGUGGGGACAGGGCUCCUGCGCUCUGGAAGCUUCCGGACCCCACCCUACGGACCCCGUCCUGCGAGUCCUUUGUAACAUCCUCUAUAAUAAACCAGCAUGUGUAAGUGUUUCUGAGUCCUGUGAGCUGGCCUAGCACACACCAGACCGGGGCUCAGGGCUCACAGGAGUCUGGGUUUACAGCUGGUCAGUGAGAAGCACAGGUGGCCUGACCCAGAGACUGGCGCUGA